rnacentral:rRNA from 1 species
AGCUCAACUGUAGAACUGCCAUUGAUACUGGAAUCCUUGAGUGUGGUUGAAGUAGACGGAAUAUGUCAUGUAGCGGUGAAAUGCAUAGAUAUGACAUAGAACACCAAUUGCGUAGGCAGUUUACUAAACCAUUACUGACGCUCAUGGACGAAAGUGUGGGUAGCGAACAGGAUUAGAUACCCUGGUAGUCCACACCGUAAACUAUGAUCACUAGAUGUUGGCGAUAUACAGUCAGUGUCUUAGAGAAAUCGUUAAGUGAUCCACCUGGGGAGUACGUUCGCAAGAAUGAAACUCAAAGGAAUUGACGGGGGCCCGCACAAGCGGUGGAGCAUGUGGUUUAAUUCGAUGAUACGCGAGGAACCUUACCAAGGCUUAAAUGUAAAACGACCGGUUGAGAGAUCAACUUUUUUUCGAACGAUUUACAAGGUGCUGCAUGGUUGUCGUCAGCUCGUGCCGUGAGGUGUCGGGUUAAGUCCCAUAACGAGCGCAACCCCUAUUUCUAGUUGCCAGCGAGUAAUGUCGGGAACUCUAGAGAGACUGCCCGUGCAAACGGAGAGGAAGGUGGGGAUGACGUCAAAUCAUCACGGCCCUUAUGUCUUGGGCUACACACGUGCUACAAUGGUCAAUACAGUGGGAUGCCAUCUGGUGACAGAGAGCAAAUCCAUAAAGUUGAUCCCAGUUCGGAUCGGAGUCUGCAACUCGACUCUGUGAAGUUGGAAUCGCUAGUAAUCGCACAUCAGCCAUGGUGCGGUGAAUACGUUCCCGGGCCUUGUACACACCGCCCGUCAAGCCAUGGAAGUUUGGAGUGCCUGAAGUCAGUAACCGUAAGGAUCUGCCUAGGGUAAGACAAGUAACUAGGGCUAAGUCGUAACAAGGUAGCC